CGAAUAGGGGCAACCCUUAGUAGAGCGGCGCACGGGUGCGUAACACGUGGAUAAUCUGCCUGGAUGCCUGGGAUAACCAGUCGAAAGAUUGGCUAAUACCGGAUAAGCCCACGGUUUCUUCGGAGACUGAGGGAAAAGGUGGCCUCUGUAUACAAGCUAUCACAACCAGAUGAGUCCGCGGCCCAUCAGCUAGUUGGCGGGGUAAUGGCCCACCAAGGCGACGACGGGUAGCUGGUCUGAGAGGACGAUCAGCCACACUGGAACUGAGACACGGUCCAGACUCCUACGGGAGGCAGCAGUGGGGAAUUUUGCGCAAUGGGCGAAAGCCUGACGCAGCAACGCCGCGUGUGUGAUGAAGGUCUUUGGAUUGUAAAGCACUUUCGACCGGGACGAAACCGUAAAGCCUAAUACGCUUUGCCUUGACGGUACCGGGAGAAGAAGCACCGGCUAACUCUGUGCCAGCAGCCGCGGUAAUACAGAGGGUGCAAGCGUUGUUCGGAAUUAUUGGGCGUAAAGCGCGUGUAGGCGGCUUUGCAAGUCGGGUGUGAAAGCCCUCAGCUCAACUGAGGAAGUGCGCCCGAAACUGCAGAGCUUGAGUGCCGGAGAGGGUGGCGGAAUUCCCCAAGUAGAGGUGAAAUUCGUAGAUAUGGGGAGGAACACCGGUGGCGAAGGCGGCCACCUGGACGGUAACUGACGCUGAGACGCGAAAGCGUGGGUA
rnacentral:rRNA from 1 species